GUCACGGCAGGAGGAGGCAUCUGGUGUGAGAGCCAGAGAGCGCAGCCAGCCAGGAAUGACCACCGUAGUCCUGGAGGGAAGGGGAGACAUGAAGGGCCCAGUUGCUGUCCUCUAGGACUUCUGGAGGAGAUUCUGAGAGCCGCUUGCCCUCCUUACCCCCUCGGAAACCGCACCCUGUCAGCCUCGCAGCGGCGGACCUGGGAAGGAGGCCGUUUCCUUUUUUAAACCACAGGCUGAUCUCUGAGUUCAAGCCAUGGGCCUGAAGGAGGGAAGGAAAGGAGCGAGGAAGUAGAGCUGAGGGAGGAGCGGGACGUCAGCCUUGGAUUCAGCACCGAGGACAGCAGCCGCGCAACCCCUUCGGUACAGCCCAUGUGUUGAAGGCCUGGCGCCCAUUUGGCGCUAUGGGGAAGUGGUAGCACUCUUAGGAGGGAGGUCUAGGGAAGGUGUUGGGGGGUGUGCCCCCAUGUUCUCUUCUCUUUUGCUUUUUGGCUCCUGGCAAUGACGUGCUGUCUCACAGCAGGCUCCAAAGCUACUGGUCCUUACGGCUAGGAGCCAGAACAAACCUUUCUUGUUUCACAUGAUCCCCUCCAGUACUUUCUUGUAGUUAUGAAAGCUGACCAACACAGAUGGCCUCAGAAACAUAAAGCUUCAGGCUCAGAGGAGGAAGCAGCUGAUGCUCCAGGUGGCUGAGCUUCACAGGGAACGUGGAACAGCGCAAGUCACACUGAAGUCGUGGUGUCCAUGCACCUUAGAAACAAAACUGCUCCCGCUGCAAGGGCUGUUUUGGUGUGUGUAGUGUGUAUGAUGUGUAGGGUGCUGGGGACCACACUCAGCAUUUGCACAUCUAGGCUAAGUGCUCUGCCGCUGAGCCACACCCCAGCCCACCGUGUAAGA